UCCCAAAGUGCCGAGAUUGCAGCCUCUGCCCGGCCGCCACCCCGUCUGGGAAGUGAGGAGUGUCUCUGCCUGGCCACCCAUCGUCUGGGAUGUGAGGAGCCCCUCUGCCUGGCUGCCCAGUCUGGAAAGUGAGGAGCGUCUCCGCCCGGCCGCCAUCCCAUCUAGGAAGUGAGGAGCGCCUCUUCCCAGCCGCCAUCACAUCUAGGAAGUGAGGAGCGUCUCUGCCCGCCCGCCCAUCGUCUGAGAUGUGGGGAGCGCCUCUGCCCCGCCGCCCCAUCUGGGAUGUGAGGAGUGCCUCUGCCCUGCCGAGACCCCGUCUGGGAGGUGAGGAGCGUCUCUGCCCGGCCGCCCCGUCUGAGAAGUGAGGAGACCCUCUGCCUGGCAACCACCCCGUCUGAGAAGUGAGGAGCCCCUCCGCCCGGCAGCUGCCCCGUCUGAGAAGUGAGGAGCCUCUCCGCCCGGCAGCCACCCCAUCUGGGAAGCCCUGUCCUACCAUGAGCUGAAGAGGCAGCAACAUACGUGUUUGGAGUUUAGUAGGGACUGAGAAGCGGGGAAAAGAACUGCCUAACCAAAGGGAAUCUGUGUGAGAAGGCAUGCCUUCAUACUUCAGGCAGUUUACAAGACAGCCUUAGCUUUCGUUUUCUGCUUGCUACAGAGCCUUAAGGUCAGCCAGAAGCGAGUGACUGGAAACUUCUUCAUUCCCAUCUCUCUCCUGGCAUCUCACCAUUGUCACAAUGACUGCCAGUUCCCAGGCCUCAACCUGGAAUCUCAGAAGCAACUCUUUUUGUACAGCUGAGGGGCACCUGGAACAUAGAAGUUAAGAAGAGAUCUGGCUGGGAUCAAGAAACCUCUUUUCACUGCACCUGAGGCUCAGUUGUGCCCUCUGCUGACACUAGGUCAGGAGGCUGGACAGCUCCAACUGGAAACUUGGAGCAGGGUUUUAAGACCUCUGCUUUCUCACUUUGAAGAAUUGGAAUAGAAAAAUAGAAAAUACAAAAAUGAUGAGUCCUUGGAAUUGAUAGGACACGUAGACUUGAGAGACUUGAACAUGUUUUUUGUCUGUUUGAUUCCCUUCUCUAUUCCCAGUGUUUCGAGCAGUUCUAGUCCAUGGUAAGUGCUCAGUAAAUAUUUGUGCUGAUGAGCAAGCAAAAGGCUGUUCUGCU
rnacentral:lncRNA from 1 species